GAUGAACGCUGGCGGCGUGCCUAAUACAUGCAAGUCGAGCGAAUGGAUUAAGAGCUUGCUCUUAUGAAGUUAGCGGCGGACGGGUGAGUAACACGUGGGUAACCUGCCCAUAAGACUGGGAUAACUCCGGGAAACCGGGGCUAAUACCGGAUAACAUUUUGAACCGCAUGGUUCGAAAUUGAAAGGCGGCUUCGGCUGUCACUUAUGGAUGGACCCGCGUCGCAUUAGCUAGUUGGGGAUGUAACGGCUCACCAAGGCAACGAUGCGUAGCCGACCUGCGAGGGUGAUCGGGCACACUGGGCAUGAGACACGGCCCAGACUCCUACGGGAGGCAGCAGUAGGGAAUCUUCCGCAAUGGACGAAAGUCUGACGGAGCAACGCCGCGUGAGUGAUGAAGGCUUUCGGGUCGUAAAACUCUGUUGUUAGGGAAGAACAAGUGCUAGUUGAAUAAGCUGGCACCUUGACGGUACCUAACCAGAAAGCCACGGCUAACUACGUGCCAGCCGCCGCAGUAA
rnacentral:rRNA from 1 species